rnacentral:rRNA from 1 species
CCUACGGGUGGCAGCAGUGGGGAAUAUUGCACAAUGGGGGAAACCCUGAUGCAGCGACGCCGCGUGAGUGAAGAAGUAUGUCGGUAUGUAAAGCUCUGUCAGCAGGGAAGAAAAUGACGGUACCUGACCAAGAAGCCCAGGCUAACGACGUGCCAGCAGCCGCGGUAAUACGUAGGGGGCAAGCGUUAUCCGGAUUUACUGGGUGUAAGGGGAGCGUAGACGGCAGGGCAAGUCUGGAGUGAAAGGCGGGGGCUCAACCCCCGGACUGCUCUGGAAACUGGCAGGCUGGAGUGCAGGAGAGGUACGUGGAAUUCCUGGUGUAGCGGUGACAUGCGUAGAUAUUAGGAGGAACACCAGUGGCGAAGGCGGCUUACUGGACUGUAACUGACGUUGAGGCUCGAAAGCGUGGGGAGCAAACAGGAUUAGAUACCCCGGUAGUC